rnacentral:rRNA from 1 species
GCUGGCGGCGUGCUUAACACAUGCAAGUCGAGCGCGAAAGCACCUUCGGGUGUGAGUAGAGCGGCGAACGGGUGCGUAACACGUGAGUAAUCUGCCUCAGGGUCGGGGAUAACCACCCGAAAGGGUGUUGUAAUACCGGAUACGAUCCCUUCCUCGCAGGGGGAGGGGGGGAAAGAGGGCUUC